AAUGGUUAUUCUAAGGUUAUAUGAACCGAAGAUUAGUUUGCUGUAACCGUUAUUUAACCGUUCAAUAACUUCGGUUGGAUUUCGGUUACUUCGAGGUUGCCACAACGAUAUGACCCAAUCAGUCUCGUGGAUUGGAAUCAGGUUAUUCUGAGGUUUGAAGUUUUAAUAGGGUUUGCUUGUGGUUGGAUUACAUCUACUAAUACGACAUAUCCCUGGUAGAAAUAUUUCUCCGCCAUGACUCCGGCAUUACUCCGUUUUUAGCCCAUUUCCGGAGAAAUUACUCCAGCAUAAGGUUGUUGGCGGAGAAAUUACUCCGGCAUGAGAUUGAUAGAUGGGGGGGGGGGGAUUACUUCGACACGAGAUCGAUGAUGGGGAAAUCACUCCGGCAUGAGAUUGAUGGCGGAGAAAUUUUUCUGGCAUGAGAUUGAAACUAGAAGUCUUUUUUUCAUCGGUUGAAUAUUUUCAUGAUAUGACAAUCUAUUCUUUUGUGUUUUUUUGAUUCAUGGAGAACCACAUACAACCUCGCACAUACAAAUACUUAAUUACAAAAAAAAAUUGUCAAGUUCCAUACUUCCAUCACACAUUUAUAAUCCAAUACAUAUUUGAUCACCGCUUGUUAUAUAAUUGUUAGGCGUUUCUUUCCACGGCGAAUGCCUGCCAGAAAUACCACCUCCACUGCUCGCCGUCAUUACUCCUAUUGACUCCUAAUGCGCCACUGUAACACUUACACAUAUAUAAGAGUAGUGACGGUGAGCAGUACGGUGAGCAGUAGUCCGCCGUCAAAGAAAGCCCCUAUUAAUCGAUGGAAGCAACGUAGUCUGUUUUUAUACAUUAUCUUGUAAAAAGAAAAAAGUUAGAGUGUUGUGCCCUAGUGUAUAAGACAAUGGAAAAUCAUAUAAAUAAACAAAUAAAAUAAUAAAAAAAGCAAUAUUGUGCCCGAGGCUUAUACUAAAACACUGAGAAUAAAUAAAUUUCGCUUGAAUAAAUUUGUGGUUGAAGAAAUAAUGGCAGCAGCCGACUCAUUAACCAACGACAGCCUUUAUCCAAUUGCAGUUUUGAUAGAUGAAUCAUAAAAUGAAAAUUUACUACUGCGAUUUAAUUCAAUCGAAAAACUUUCAACGAUUGCCUUGGCACUUGGUGCUGAACGUACUCGUAGUGAGUUGAUGCCUUUUUUGACGUGGACAAUGUAUGAUGGAGAUGAAGUUUAAGGGAUUACCAUCACGAAUCAAAAACGCAGAUAGAGCCUUGAAAUUUUUUGAGCAGAUUAAUGAAAUAAUAAUACAUACGCUCAAAUUUUUUGAUAAUUUUCUUGUAGCUAAUUACUUAGUAAUUAAUUACUAAAGUAGGCUACUUUUUUGAAGGUUAUACAUAGGUUCUUAUGGAGAGUCCGGUUUAGUUCUUAGAAACCUGGUUAGUCAUUUUAUGGAAAACGCAGAUAGCUUUUUCAAAAACUACAGAUAGAUAGAGGAAACAAUAAGGAAAGUUUUGAUAUAAAAAUUAAUAGGGCUUACAAUAAAUAAAAAUAAAUUUUUGUCUUUGUCUAAAUACUCAAGUUAAAGUGAGAAACAAGAUUUUCUCUUUCUUUUUUAUCUCGUUCGCACUCAUAGAAAUAUUAUGUUUCUAAAUUUCAUACGCAAGAGGUCUCUAGAUAUGCGGGGGUAAUCCCUCAAUUGGCACUCGCUGAACAACUUGUAACAUUCACACCACUCGUAGGUGGACUUGAUCAUGUUUAUUGUUAAUUGCCACCACUUAAAGCAUUGGCAGCUGUUGAAGAAACAGUUGUACGUGACAAAGCAGUUGAAUUGUCGCGUAAUAUUGCGAGUCAACACAGUCCAGCAUAUCUUGAAGAUCAUUUUGUUCCAUUUAGUGGUCUUCGAUUUUUGCCGAUGUAUCGACAAGCCGAUUUUAAAUCGGAAAGUAUCGAGUACUUUUACUCGAUACUUUUUUUGGGCCGAUGUAUCGAUUUCGAAAUCAAGAAUCGGAAAAAUCGUGUACUGAACCAAGAAAAAAUAUGAAAUCACUUGGUUAAUUUUAUUUUGAUUUUUUUUCUAUUUUUAUUUGUUUGCAAACUAUGGUUCUAUUAUAUUAGAAAAAAAUAGUGUUUUUACCAUUUUUCACUAAAGUGAUGAUUUCUUUUACCUACUGAGUAACGUAUGACCUAAUGUGAAAUGGAAUUUUUUCAAUUCAAUAAAACAAAUCAAUAAAUACUAUAUAAAUAAAUAAAAUCAUUUUUUUUAAAUUUUCUGAAUUUUCUCAAGAAUAUAUAGUUAAAAAAAAAUAAAAAAUAUUUUUCAUAAUCAGAUGAUAAUUCAUUCAAAAGUACUGAUACUUAAGUAUGAGACUAUUUUUGGCCGAUGAUCGAUUUUUGAUUCUUAAAAAGUACGUACUCCGAUUGAUACUUUUUCAAGAAUCGAAGACCACUAGUCCAUUGGUAGAACGUUUGGCAUCUGGUGAUUAAUUUACUAAGAACAUCAGCAUGUGGUUUAAUAAGUUUAUGUUAUCCAUGUAAGUGGUUCUGUGAUGAGAAUCAUGUGUUGACAGAAAGAAGAAGGUCCUUUGAGAAAUCAAUCUAUGGGAGAUUCUGAAAUAGAUUCUGGAGAUUCUGAAUAUAUUCAUCCAUAAUUAUAGAAUUUUUCUAUCGCUCUAUGUUUUUCUGUUCUUUUUAUGUAUUUUUCAUUUGUAUCGUCUAUAUACAAUAUUGUAUGUUGUAACCAUAUUUAUAUGACUGAAAUGAUAAAUUAUUAUUAAAACCUUGUUAUUUAUGCAUAUUUUCAGAUUAUUUUCAAUAUAAACGAAUUUAUACAGUCAUUUUUUUACUGUGAUAUAUA